GAUGAACGCUGGCGGCGUGCCUAAUACAUGCAAGUCGAGCGGAAACACUUCGGGUGUCGAGCGGCGGACGGGUUAGUAACGCGUGGGAACAUACCCCAGAGUGAGGGAUAAGCACCAGAAAUGGUGUCUAAUACCGCAUAACAUCUACGGAUAAAAGCUUCGGCGCUUUGGGAAUGGCCUGCGUAAGAUUAGCUAGUUGGUAAGGUAAAGGCUUACCAAGGCAAUGAUCUUUAGCUGGUUUGAGAGGAUGAUCAGCAACACUGGAACUGAGACACGGUCCAGACUUCUACGGAAGGCAGCAGUAGGGAAUAUUCCACAAUGGGCGAAAGCCUGAUGGAGCAACGCCGCGUGCAGGAUGAAUGCCUUCGGGUUGUAAACUGCUUUUAUAGGUGAAGAUUUUGACGGUAACCUAAGAAUAAGGAUCGGCUAACUCCG
rnacentral:rRNA from 1 species